AAUAAAGUGGCCGAAAAGAUAAGCAAUAGACUGUAAAUCUAUUUAUGAGUUAAUACUCCUUUAUUA
rnacentral:tRNA from 1 species